CCCUGAUGCAGCCAUGCCGCGUGUGUGAAGAAGGCCUUCGGGGUUGUAAAGCACUUUCAGUAGGGAGGAAGGUAGUGUAGUUAACACCUGCAUUAUUUGACGUUACCUACAGAAGAAGCACCGGCUAACUCCGUGCCAGCAGCCGCGGUAAUACGGAGGGGUGCGAGCGUUAAUCGGAAUUACUGGGCGUAAAGCGCAUGCAGGCGGCCUGUUAAGUCAGAUGUGAAAGCCCGGGGCUUAACCUCGGAAUUGCAUUUGAAACUGGCAGGCUAGAGUCUUGUAGAGGGGGGUAGGAAUUUCAGGUGUAGCGGUGAAAUGCGUAGAGAUCUGAAGGAAUACCAGUGGCGAAGGCGGCCCCCUGGACAAAGACUGACGCUCAGAUGCGAAAGCGUGGGGAGCAAACAGGAUUAGAUACCCUGGUAG
rnacentral:rRNA from 1 species